rnacentral:lncRNA from 1 species
UAGUGUCAUAGUGUGUGUGGGUGAGAGAUUUUUUUUUUUUGAGAGAAAAGUAGCACGCUACCUGCUUCAUUCAGUAGGAAAAAUGAACUAAGCUUACAAGGUGGAAGCAGCUAAGGCUUUCUUGGCAAAAAGCGAACACAGAGAAACAGAGAAACAAAACAAAAGUGGCGAAAGAAGGAAGGAAGAAUUUAUAAAAAGAAAGUGGGGGAGGAAAAAUUUGGUUACAGGAGUGAGCUCCAGUCACUAAACAAUGGUGUGGGUGAGAGAUAUUGUAA